rnacentral:lncRNA from 1 species
ACCGCCCAACACUGCUCGUCAGUCUGGACUGUUAGCUUAAAUCGACCAGCAUCCUGUUUUGUAGUGGUAAGCCGAGUGGACUAAAUCACGUUCGAAAUUGCAUGAGGCCUGGUUGGGCUGAGUCAUGUUUGAAGUAGCGUGAGGCUGGAUGGGCCGAGUCACAAUCGAGAUCUAUAGCCGCUGUGUAUACACGUUUUAAGUGGAUUAGUUGCAUAUUUCUAAUAAGUCGAGCUUUUGAGAUCAUUGGUUAGCGCCAACGAUCAAACGUGAACCAGA